AUUUUAACAGUUAAAGUUUUUACAGUCAAAGCAUCUACAACCAAAUUCUCCGCAGCUAAAAUUUUAAAGUCAAAGUCUGUACAGCCAAAAGUAACAGCCGUUAGCAAUGAUUCACAUGUAGAUUAAUCUCAUACACUCAUUGUAUGUUAUAGACUUGACUCCUAGGUUUGGUUGGUAUACUUAGGUUUAGUCUCAAUUUUCUUGAUUUAAUUUAGUUAUAUACUCAACAAGAAUACUUAAAAGUGUUGCAAAAGGAUCAUGAACUGGCUAUGUGGUGGAGGAGCCAUGGCGAUGACUUUUCUAGGGAUCCCAAAUUGCUUAACCAAGGGAACACCAGUUGGUCGGCUGCUUCUUACCUAUCAUUAGUACAUUCGCCUGGUCCCUUUGGUUUAUCCUUUAGGUUCUGAUUAAUUAAAUUUGCAGAUUAUGAUUGUCUAAAGCUUGGUUUGUUAUAGAUUGUAUGUUUUAUUUAAGUAAUUGUAGAAUUUGGUUAUAUAAGUUGUACGCUCUGUUUUCUAAGUUACAUGUUUUGUUUUCCCAGAAUAUAUGAGUGAUAAUUGAAUAUAUAUUUAUAAUUGAACAUUAGAACAAUGGUUUAUGUUUAUAUGAUUUCAUGAUUGGUUGAUUGGUUACAAGAUAUGUCAUUUCACGUGAACGUUUGAUGAAGUUAAAUAGACGAGCUUGGACUGAUCAUGAAGACAAAUCCAAGAGAUUACAUCACCACUCAUGGUGAAGGCAAGUGGAGCACUCUCCCAAACAAAGCUGGGCUCAAGAUGUGUAUUGAAAAGCUGUAGACUACGUUGGAAGAACUACUUUAGACCGGGGAAAAAGCGCGAAAACUUCUCAUCUGAAUAUCUGAUGAAGAAGAACUCAUAUAUAUCUUUUUCAAAAGAUGGUACAUAGAGCGGAAACAGAGAUUGGACGUGCAGAAGCUAGCUACAUAAGAAAAGAAGUCUCACCGUAACAUGUGUAAGGGUUUGGGCAUGAGAAAAUGAACAAGAGUGAAGAUUCGUAGGGAGAAAUUGGACUGAGUUUUGAAUGGAAUUGGUCCAUGUCUGCAAAAUGUCGAGCUCCCAAAGGUCAAGGCAUUGUAAAUGAAAGAGCUUUUGAAGAGAAUUACAACAACGUCUAAAGAAAUUAUUCGAACAUCACGGGAAAACUAUACGAGUUUGUCCACUACGCAUAUAUAGAGGACAAGCGUCAUAAGAGCCAUGGGUUUCACUGAAAGAUAUGUGAUCGGUGGUAUGCUUCAUUUGAAUAAUCAUUUUUUUUGUAUACUCUCUUUCAUCAGAUUUUAUUUCUUUGUAUUCUUUUUUCUAACUAACAGUAGCAAGAAUCAAGGUAAAUGUGUUUCUAAUCUGAAUCUGUACAUCAUUUGUUUCUAUUAAGAUCUUAGUUGUUGGGUAAGUUGAGGU